ACCCUAUAGUCCUGACUUGGCGCCCAGUGACUGUCACCUGUUCCCUGGGUUAAAAGAACAUUUGGCCGGAAAGUGAUUCACCUCCUGAACAGCAUGGCAGCAGGCUGGUAUAUACAAAAACUGGCACAGUGUCUACAAAAAUGCAUUGACAGAAAUGGUAAUUAUCUUGAAAAAUAGCUAAAUGUUAAAGCAAUAAACUGAUGUAAACAACUGUAGAAAUAACAGCUCUAUGUACGUAAAAAAUAGGAGGCCUUUUUUCUUGGUAUUACCCUCAUAGUUGCAGAUUUUAUUUUAUUCCGACACUUCUGACAGUCAAGCAUUAAUCACCUUGCAGACCAGUGAAGCAAGGUAACAGCUGAUUAACCGUGGCCCUCGUCUGUGGACCAAAAGUCGACAGAAUUCCAGGGCUAGAAAGUUUUAACAACCGGGAUGUCAACGCUUAUCGGACAUUUCACAUCGCAGAGGUCUACAAUAAAGACAUAGAUAAAUCAUAUUACCUGCCGUCAAUGCCGUUCGUUCUGAGGACCAGGAAUCAUUGCACAGUAAAUGAAUCAUAAUCUGUGUCAGUGUGGGUUAAAGGUGCUGACCAUUGUAAAAAAAAUUAAACUUGUUGGUGAUCUCAUCCAUUAUUACAGUAGUGAAAUAUUGUCCCCUUCCCUUUAUGCGUAAAAGGCUGUCUCACUCAUUUAACACAUUCUUAGGUUGCAUACGCAUGUGCACAUGUAUACAAACAAAAUUGUUUGAAUUGCUCUUUCAUAAUUCUAAGUUGAAUGUAAAAAUAUCCUACAAAACCGAAAAACCCCGAUGAUCAUUUUGACACACCCAGGACAAUGAGAUCCAGUGUGUAGUAACGUUUUCAAAAGUUUGAGAAACAGACCAGUAGUUAGUGCUUAUUUUGUACUAAUUUUUACAUUGUACUGUCCAUUUUAUUUAAUACAUUUAUCACUAGUUCAACAUAUUCACAUCUCAACACUCAAUGGUUAACUUUGUCCAGUGUUGCUGUAGCUUUUGAUAUUUCACGAACUGGCAAAGGUUCUGAUUCAUCCUUGUCUUUAGUUUCUUCACUUACGGAUAUUGUCAAUUGAUGACCUACUACGAUCCCAAUUUUUCUCGAAGUAAGUCUAUACUCUGUUUACACUGUAAAAAAAAAUACUCAGCCCAAUAACUUUUGAUCUUUAACCUCCAGAAUUUUGCAGAUGGAACCAAGGGUAGACAGUGGCCUCUGAGCUGUUUCUUUACUUACUUCUGUACCUUAGUUGAAUUACAUUAUCAUAGUGAAAGUUGGUCAUGCAAUUUUGAUGCGAAAUGGAACCUGAAAACCUGCUAAAAUGUGGAUACCAGUGGAUAAAGCUCAAAUGUGUGUGGCCUGGUAGAUACAGACGAUAUCAGAUACCCAAGUGCAGUGACCCUUUCGGACUUGUUUCAGAUGCCACUAUGGACAGGGUACGGCAGGUGUUUGCAAGGAGUUCUAUAAAAUCGGUGUGGCAGCCAGAGAGUUGGAAAUGAGAAGAUCGACGUUGCACAAUGAUGUGCAUAAGAGUACUCACAAGACAUUUACAGUGGGGUGUGCAGUUGAGAACAGUUCGCCAUCUACCCCUCAGUGCUCACCAGAAUUAUUCAAAGUGGAGCACUAUGCCAAUUUUAAGAAGCUGGCCAAAGAUGUCCUGGUAAGCAGCACAUUGUCAGUGCUGCGAGACAUACAAACAGCAAUGAAUGGGAGCAAUGAGGAUGAUGAGUUGGGCCAAUACGUUGCAGCUGAGGUGAUUACAACUAAAAAUAGAAAAUUGAAGGCAGAGACAAAGUGCCUUAUCAUGGGUGCAAUUCAGAAAGUUACUGAUUGUUAAUUUUUAA